CAGACCCACAAAGAAUUUGAAAACAAACCCAAUUUUGAUAAACUCCCAUGUCUACUGGGUGAAAUACCACAGUGUGACAUCACAGCAGCAAGACUUGUGACCUGUUGCCACAAGAAAAGGGCAACCAGUGAAGAACAAACACCAUUGUAAAUACAACCCAUAUUUAUGCUUAUUUAUUUUCCCUUUUGUACUUUUAACUAUUUGCACAUCAUUACAACAGUGUAUAUAGACAUAAUAUUACAUUUGAAAUAUCUUUAUAAUUUUGGAACUUUCGUGAGUGUAAUGUUUACUGUUCAUUUUUAGUGCUUAUUUCACUUUUGUAUAUUAUCUAUUUCACUUGCUUUGGCAAUGUAAACAUAUGUUUCCCAAUAAUGCCCUUAAAUUGAAAUUGAUAUUGAAUUGAAAUUGAAUACAGAGGCAGAGAGAGAGAGAGAAAGCAGGAUAUUUUUAGAAAGAUAUGUGAACACUAAGUUUCUAACCACAUCAGUCCCAGUGGAUCAGGAGAGGACCGAUGGGUCCAGGUAGUGGAUCAGGAGAGGACAGAUGGGUCCAGGUAGUGGAUCAGGAGAGGACAGAUGACAGAUGGGUCCAGGUAGUGGAUCAGGAGAGGACAGAUGACAGAUGGGUCCAGGUAGUGGAUCAGGAGAGGACAGAUGACAGAUGGGUCCAGGUA
rnacentral:lncRNA from 1 species